GCCAGUGUGGCCAAGUGGUUUGAAGCUUUGGACUACGGCUCUAUAGAGACCAGGGUUCAAAUGCCUGCUCAGCCA